rnacentral:rRNA from 1 species
AUUGAACGCUGGCGGCAGGCCUAACACAUGCAAGUCGGGCGAGCGGAGGACGGGUGAGUAAUGUAUGGGGAUUUGCCUGAUGGAGGGGGUUAACUACUGGAAACGGUAGUUAAUACCGCUUACCAUCAGAUGAACCCAUAUGGGAUUAGCGUGUAGGUGAGGUAACGGCUCACAUAGGCGACGAUCCCUAGCUGGUCUGAGAGGAUGAUCAGCCACACUGGGACUGAGACACGGCCCAGACUCCUACGGGAGGCAGCAGUGGAGAAUAUUGCACAAUGGGCGCAAGCCUGAUGCAGCCAUGCCGCGUGUAUGAAGAAGGCCUUCGGGUUGUAAAGUACGUUCAGUCGGGAGGCGUUACCGACAGAAGAAGCACCGGCUAACUCCGUGCCAGCAGCCGCGGUAAUUC